rnacentral:rRNA from 1 species
ACGAACGCUGGCGGCGCGCCUAAUACAUGCAAGUCGAGCGAGAAGACGUAGCAAUACGUUUGUAAAGCGGCGAACGGGUGAGGAAUACAUGGGUAACCUACCCUCGAGUGGGGAAUAACUAGCCGAAAGGUUAGCUAAUACCGCGUACGCUCCUUGGACUUCGGUUCAGGGAGGAAAGCGAUACCGUGGGUAUCGCGCUCUUGGAUGGGCUCAUGUCCUAUCAGCUUGUUGGUGAGGUAACGGCUCACCAAGGCUUCGACGGGUAGCUGGUCUGAGAGGACGAUCAGCCACACUGGCACUGCGACACGGGCCAGACUCCUACGGGAGCAGCAGUAAGGAAUAUUGCGCAAUGGGCGAAAGCCUGACGCAGCGACGCCGCGUGGGGGA